GAUGAACGCUGGCGGCGUGCCUAAUACAUGCAAGUCGAGCGAACGGACGAGAAGCUUGCUUCUCUGAUGUUAGCGGCGGACGGGUGAGUAACACGUGGAUAACCUACCUAUAAGACUGGGAUAACUUCGGGAAACCGUAGCUAAUACCGGAUAAUAUUUUGAACCGCAUGGUUCAAAAGUGAAAGACGGUCUUGCUGUCACUUAUAGAUGGAUCCGCGCUGCAUUAGCUAGUUGGUAAGGUAACGGCUUACCAAGGCGACGAUGCAUAGCCGACCUGAGAGGGUGAUCGGCCACACUGGAACUGAGACACGGUCCAGACUCCUACGGGAGGCAGCAGUAGGGAAUCUUCCGCAAUGGGCGAAAGCCUGACGGAGCAACGCCGCGUGAGUGAUGAAGGUCUUCGGAUCGUAAAACUCUGUUAUUAGGGAAGAACAUAUGUGGAAGUAACUGUGCACAUCUUGACGGUACCUAAUCAGAAAGCCACGGCUAACUACGUG
rnacentral:rRNA from 1 species